AGUGAACGCUGGCGGCAGGCCUAACACAUGCAAGUCGAACGGCAGCACAAGAGAGCUUGCUCUCUGGGUGGCGAGUGGCGGACGGGUGAGGAAUGCAUCGGAAUCUGCCCAUUUGUGGGGGAUAACCUCGGGAAACCGGGACUAAUACCGCAUACGACCUACGGGUGAAAGCCGGUGAUCUUCGUACCUUGCGCAGAUGGAUGAGCCGAUGCCGGCUUCGCUAGUUGGGGGGGUAAAGUCCCCCCAAGUCGACGAGCCGUAGCUGGUCUGAGAGGAUGAGCACCCACACUGGGACGGAGACACGGCCCAGACUCCUACGGGAGGCAGCAGUGGGGAAUAUUGGACAAUGGGCGCAAGCCUGAUCCAGCCAUGCCGCGUGUGUGAAGAAGGCCUUCGGGUUGUAAAGCACUUUUGUUGGGAAAGAAAAGCAGCCGGUUAAUACCCGGUUGUCAUGACGGUACCCAAAGAAUAAGCACCGGCUAACUUCGUG
rnacentral:rRNA from 1 species